ACUCCUACGGGAGGCAGCAGUGGGGAAUUUUGGACAAUGGGGGCAACCCUGAUCCAGCAAUGCCGCGUGUGUGAAGAAGGCCUCGGUUGUAAGCACUUUGUCCGGAAAGAAACGUUCUGGUUAAUACCUGGGGCGGAUGACGGUACCGGAAGAAUAAGCACCGGCUAACUACGUGCCAGCAGCCGCGGUAAUACGUAGGGUGCGAGCGUUAAUCGGAAUUACUGGGCGUAAAGCGUGCGCAGGCGGUUUUGUAAGACAGGCGUGAAAUCCCCGGGCUUAACCUGGGAAUUGCGCUUGUGACUGCAAGGCUAGAGUGCGUCAGAGGGGGGUAGAAUUCCACGUGUAGCAGUGAAAUGCGUAGAGAUGUGGAGGAAUACCGAUGGCGAAGGCAGCCCCCCUGGGACGUGACUGACGCUCAUGCACGAAAGCGUGGGAGCAAACAGGAUUAGAUACCCUGGUAGGAUAGCG
rnacentral:rRNA from 1 species